rnacentral:antisense_RNA from 1 species
CUGGGUUGUUUAUUCUUUUACAGUACAUUGAUUUUUCAGUUUUGGCUUUUGAGGGAGCUUGCUCAAUAGGAAUCCAAAAGUGCUUUUGCUUAUACCACUUCUGAGAAUUAAAAACAGACAUGAUGUAAGUAUCAAUGUUGACCAUUUCAGAAAAAAAAGAAACAUCCAAAUAGUGAAAAGUUAAAAUUAAAUUUGAUCUUUUUAUUUUUUAUUUUUUUGAGAUGGAGUCUCACUGUGUCGCCUAGGCUGGAGUGCAGUGGCGUGAUCUUGAUUCACUGCAAUGUCCACCUCCCGGGUCCAAGCAAUUCUUCUGCCUCAGCCUCCCAAGUUGCUGUGAUUACAGUACUCUUCUUUCUGGGAGGAAACUAGAAUGCUUUAGAAAUCAUUGCAGGAAUCACAGAGUAAAAUGGAGAAGAACCCAGGGAUGUGUCAUAACACAGUAGUCUGAAAAAGGGCCAGGUAGAAGAGUGGGAAGGACUAUGCCUCUGGCAAGUGCAAGUUCAUAAAUCCCAGCUUCUUCAAGUUACGAGGCACAUCUGCAUCCCCAGAUGAUGGCUACUGGUCAGAACACUGAACUCAUACCAAAAACUGCUGUUGUUGACAGUUUAAUGUCUAUGGAUCUGACUCAGACAGAAAUGUGCCACUUACUGAAUCACCAACACCAUAUCUUUGGUUUUGAGGUGGGGCACGCUUACUUUUUCGUCUGAAGAUUGACACAGCCCACCAAGAACAAUUUGAAAGAGACAGAAAAGGCAUGACACCAAGCCACACAAAUUCGAUGGUAAGACUAGAGAUUAACUUGUGAACUUGGCAGGAAUAGGUCGUAUGACGAGAGCUGAAACGUACAACUGGAUCUUGGCCGUGCCAUUCCUGGAGACUAAGAAAUCCUGAAUUUUUAAUUUAUGCUUAAUAGCCAUGGCUUUGUCUUUACAGAGUAUUUGUGAUACAUUUCUAAGCAUUGCUAAAUUAAUUCUUACUGCACCAACUUGGUGGAAAUCUGUUCCGUCAGAAAGAGUUAAUACAUCCAAAGAGAUAGAAACACAUUUAAGCCUAACUUUCACAAGUUCCUGCUUAGCUAAGAAUGAAACUAGAAAAUUUUAUUUUGAGUAUUUUACAUUUCUGAUGGUACAGAAUCAACAGUUUAGGAAGCUUAACACCUAUUUGCCAAGAGAAAAAGUCAGAAUUCUCUCUUCAGGUCUACUUUCUUUGAACUUGUCUCAUCUUUUUAUGUACCCCAGUAGUUUCAGAGAUACACCUGAAGAUAGAGCAGUUUCUGUUUUCAUCACUUUUAACAACAAUGGAUCUUUUUAUCAUUGUCAAUGAAUGAAUAUUCAGCCAGUGCUCCUGAGGAGAUGAAAAACUCCACCAGCAAUUAUCUUACAGAGUCACCGUGAUUACUAGAUUGUAUGGUUUGGCUGUGCCCCCACCCAGAUCUCAUCUUGAAUUCCCAUGUGUUGUGGGAGGGACCCAGUGGGAGGUAACUGAAUCAUGGAGACAAGUCUUUCUCGUGCUGUUGUUAUGAUAGUGAAUAAGUCUCAUGAGAUCUCAUGGUUUUAUAAAGAAGAGUCCCCCUGCACAAGCUCUCUCUCUGCCUGCUGCCAUCUAUUUAAGAUGUGACUUGCUCUUCCUUGCCUUCUGCCAUGAUUGUGAGGCUUCCCCAACCAUGUGGAACUGUAAGUCCAAUUAAACCUCUUCUUUUGU